ACUCCUACGGGAGGCAGCAGUGGGGAAUAUUGGACAAUGGGCGAAAGCCUGAUCCAGCCAUGCCGCGUGUGUGAAGAAGGUCUUCGGAUUGUAAAGCACUUUAAGUUGGGAGGAAGGGUUGUAACCUAAUACGUUGCAAUUUGACGUUACCGACAGAAUAAGCACCGGCUAACUUCGUGCCAGCAGCCGCGGUAAUACGAAGGGUGCAAGCGUUAAUCGGAAUUACUGGGCGUAAAGCGCGCGUAGGUGGUUUGUUAAGUUGGAAGUGAAAAGCCCGCCGGCUCAACCUGGGAACUGCUUUCAAAACUGGCAAAGCU
rnacentral:rRNA from 1 species